rnacentral:rRNA from 1 species
UUGACCUCAAAUCUGGUAGAUA